CGCUAUCACUCCUACGGGGAGGCAGCAGUGGGGGAAUAUUGGACAAUGGGGGCAACCCUGAUCCAGCCAUGCCGCGUGUGUGAAGAAGGCCUUUGGUUGUAAAGCACUUUAAGCAGGGAGGAGAGGCUAAUGGGUUAAUACCCAUUAGAUUAGACGUUACCUGCAGAAUAAGCACCGGCUAACUCUGUGCCAGCAGCCGCGGUAAUACAGAGGGUGCGAGCGUUAAUCGGAAUUACUGGGCGUAAAGCGAGUGUAGGUGGCUCAUUAAGUCACAUGUGAAAUCCCCGGGCUUAACCUGGGAACUGCAUGUGAUACUGGUGGUGCUAGAAUAUGUGAGAGGGAAGUAGAAUUCCAGGUGUAGCGGUGAAAUGCGUAGAGAUCUGGAGGAAUACCGAUGGCGAAGGCAGCUUCCUGGCAUAAUAUUGACACUGAGAUUCGAAAGCGUGGGUAGCAAACAGGAUUAGAUACCCUGGUAG
rnacentral:rRNA from 1 species